ACGUAGGGUGCGGGCGUUAAUCGGAAUUACUGGGCGUAAAGCGUGCGCAGGCGGUUCGUUAAGUUCGAUGUGAAAGCCCCCGGCUCAACCGGGGAACAGCAGGGCGAACUGCCGGUCUCGAGGCAUGUAAGGGCGGGUGGAACAGUAGGUGGAGCGGUGAAAUGCUUAGAUAUCUACUGGAACGCCGAUGGGGAAGCCGACCCGCUGGGCAUGUCCUGACGCUGAGGCACGAAAGCGUGGGGAGCAAACAGGA
rnacentral:rRNA from 1 species